UGACCCACUGCGACCCACAUCUGACCCAUAGAGACCCUCUGAGACCCACAGAGACCCACAGAGACCCACUGAGCCUGCCCGCCCUGCCCCACAUCUGACCCACUGCGACCCAUAGAGACCCACAGAGCCUGCCCGCCCUGCCCCACAUCUGACCCACAGAGACCCACAGCAGCCCUGCCCCACAUCUGACCCACAGCUGACCCACAUCCAGAGGGGCUGCCCCACAUCUGACUCAUGGCCGACCCAUAGAGACCCACAUCUGACCCACAGCAGCCCUGCCCCACAUCUGACCCACAUCCAGAGGGGCUGCCCCACAUCUGACCCAGAGAGACCCUGCCCCACAUCUGACCCAUGGCCGACCCAUAGAGGGGCUGGGGCUGACCCAUAGAGACCCUGCCCCACAUCUGACCCACAUCUGACCCACAGCAAGCCCAGGGCUGACCCACAGCAGCCC
rnacentral:lncRNA from 1 species